rnacentral:rRNA from 1 species
GCUUGUCUCAAAGAUUAAGCCAUGCAUGUCUAAGUAUAAACAAAUCUAUACUGUGAAACUGCGAAUGGCUCAUUAUAUCAGUUAUAGUCUACUCGAUAGUACCUUACUACUUGGAUAACCGUAGUAAUUCUAGAGCUAAUACAUGCAUCAAACCCCGACUCACGAAGGGGUGUAUUUAUUAGAUGGAAACCAAUGCGGGGCAACCCGGAUUCUGGUGAUUCAUAAUAACUUUCGGAUCGAUCUUCGGAUCGAUGCAUCAUUCAAGUUUCUGCCCUAUCAGCUUUGGAUGGUAGGGUAUUGGCCUACCAUGGCUUUAACGGGUAACGGAGAAUUAGGGUUCGAUUCCGGAGAGGGAGCCUGAGAAAUGGCUACCACAUCCAAGGAAGGCAGCAGG